rnacentral:rRNA from 1 species
UACGAAGGGGGCUAGCGUUGUUCGGAAUUACUGGGCGUAAAGGGCGCGUAGGCGGCCCGCUAAGUCGAACGUGAAAUCCCCGGGCUCAACCCGGGAACUGCGUCCGAUACUGGCAGGCUUGAAUCCGGGAGAGGGAUGCGGAAUUCCAGGUGUAGCGGUGAAAUGCGUAGAUAUCUGGAGGAACACCGGUGGCGAAGGCGGCAUCCUGGACCGGCAUUGACGCUGAGGCGCGAAAGCCAGGGGAGCGAACGGG